rnacentral:misc_RNA from 1 species
AUCGAUUGGAAUUACAGUAGAUGGGUAAUAACUAAUAUGCACUGCUUUUUUGUCAUUGUAAUGUCGUGGUAUUUCCGAAGUAAUCCAAUUUUAUGAAUGAAAUUUAUGAGUGAUCGUAGCGUAUGCUUUAUGUUUGCGCUUGUGUGAGGGUGUAGCACGGUUUUAACGCCAGUAACAUACGCGCCAAGUUUAAAUAAGGCUAGAUGACAUUUACGGAAUUCCGAAAAAAAAUAAAGAAAAAAAAUUACGUACCAAUUUUUUUAUUGAUUUGGGUCGAGAAUCAUUAGCAUAAUUACCUCCUUGAAUAUGGCACGGAUGCAAAUCAACAGCUUGUAUAAAAGGUGUAAGUAACAUACCAGUGUGUGACUUUGAAACGACAACAUCCACAAUUUAUUUACAUGCUCGCUUGGUAUGCCGCUCAGCUGAAGGCUGUUUGUUUACGAUACGUACUUGUUGACACGCGCCCCGAAUACAACACCCAACAGUUACGAUAGGGGUGUGUGAAACAUAUGGCAAUGCUGUAUAUUUCUUCUGAGCGUUUUAGUGGUUGUUAUUCAAAAAAGAACUUGUUUAACGGCAGCAGUGGGGAACGAAUGUCUGUAAGACACUACUGUUACUACGUACUGUUAUUAGACUUGUAAAUUGGAUAUUUAGAUGAAAUGCUAAGAAAUCUAUUUGUAGGUAUGGAGUUUUUGUAAUCCAAAACAAUCAUACUUGAUUGAUCGUUGGUUCUACUUUAAAUUUAGGCUUCAGGGUCGACAAUACCGGAGAUAGGUACUGAGUUUCUGAGUUACCAACAUCGAUGAGUGUCAAAAUAUUGUUCCUAUGUCUGACAACCCUAAUUAUAUUAUUGAAAGUAGGUAUAAAUCUAUCGCAAUAAUUAGGCACAACACACGUAAUGUUACAAAACAUUGGCCCCGCCUUUAUCCUCUUUAUCCUGCUAUUGAGCUGACCGUUUCAUUCAGCCUCAGACCCAUCAACGACUUCGAUCAAUCACAAUGUGGACUCAAGUGAUUAUCUUUAGUGUUGCUCUUACAAUUGCAAUUGGUGAAGAAGUAGUGCCAGGGAUAAAACGGGAAGUCAGUGAAGGAGUACAGAGCAUGGGGUAUAAACUGAUCUACGGCGAUGAAGACAUGACUAUCAUUAACCAGGUAGUCACAGAUGCGGAGAAGAGUGAUAUGGUCAAGAAAAACAAAGUUAACUUGAAUGAAGCUAUCAAACCAUUGGCUCCGGAGGAUGUUAAGUGCUUGAUGUCUGUGGAUCGGUAUUGUAGCAAGAAGAUGGGAGCUAUGAAAAGUGUUUUAAUCCAAGCAGUCAAGGAGGACUGCGCGAAAUGUUCAAUAAAACAAAAGGACGAAGCUGGUAAAGUGAUAGCGUCGAUGAUGGCUCAUGACCCAGUAGCCUGGAAGCUCUUCCUCACCAGGUACGACGGCCUCGAUAAGGUCCAAAGGAUACUAGGAUAGAGGAUUAUAUAUAAGACGCAAAAAUAUACGAAGGCAUUAUUAAUGUGUGAAUCUGCCCUCCAAAUAAAACCAAGAGAAGAACCUAAAAAACAACCGCAGGUUCGCUUAAAAGUUAUAGGUGAGCCAGAAGAAGUAAUAAGAUCAUCUAGGAAUAGAUACGUCAUGCCCGGCGUACAAGUUAGAGUCAAAAGAUACGCUAGCGUUCCUGAAAAGUUUCAUUGAAUUAAUUUAAUUAUUAUCAUAACAAUAUGUAGGUUUAUUAAUAUUGUGUAAGCUACUUACGUUAAGGUAAUGUUCUGCCAUAUGAAUAAAGAAUUAAAUGGAGUUGGA